rnacentral:lncRNA from 1 species
AUUUUCUGCAUACUUAAGCUUUAUUCAUAAAAGAAACAUUGUUUUGUUUUGCUUUUUCUUAGGCUUAUUCAUAGUUCAAAGAUAAAUUUUAGAAGGACAAAAAAAAUCUCCAAGAAGGACAGUGAACCACUCUGAACCUUGGAUUCCAGAACAACAGAAGCCACAGCUGCAGCCUAUGGUUCAAGCUUAAGUAGAACUUUUUAUCUUUGGAGAACUACAGAAGAAGAAUUUCAGCACUUUUUUUUAUUCUCUUUGGACUAUAACAAAGAAUCUGAGGAAAAAGGAAAGGCAGGGAAGGUGGAUACUUACAUGACUGGAUACAACGAUGGAAUCAGUUACUGGCAUUUUGAUGGUAAUUCCUGUUAUGGGGAGGCAUCAGCAGGUACUGGCUAUUUAUAUUUACCUAUUGAAGUUUUAGGAGUAAAAAUACUGUAAACUUUGCUUGUUAUUUGGCAUACUUCCAAUUUGCAGGUACCUGAAUUAUUUAGAACUAUUCAUUUCCAAGAUAAAUUUUACCCUUUCAAAAAUUACAACAAAGAACAAAAGGCUACAUCAAAUGUUCCUGGUGGGGUCUGGUACUUUUGAAACAGGUGGAUGAUGCUAUUUUUGUGCAAUUUUAAGCUGUACAAUACAACAUCAACAGUGUAAAAUAGUUUUGUGUUAUAAGACUAAUCAUCACUAUUCCAGUAAAUGAAAAAUAUAUGUUGCUUAUUUGUAGAGUAGUUGGGAAUUAAAGAAAACUGAAAACAUUUUGUGCAUAUUCCCUAUAAUGAACAGCUAUGUCUGAGACAUUGACAAAGAGAGG